rnacentral:lncRNA from 1 species
GGCCCAAAAGACUCUUCUCGCAAAUUACAACAAAUUGUGCAAUUAGUAGUUUUUUUAUUUAUAUUUAAUGCUCCAUGCAUGUGCCGCAUGAUUUGAUGUGAUGGAGAAUCUUGAAAAGUUUUUGUUUUUGGGUGCAACGAAACAAGGCCUAAUACAAAACUAAUAUAAGUUAUGACGUUGUUUGGCUCGUGAGCGGCUCACGAGUUGGCUCGAGUUGACUCAUUAUAGCUAACAAGCUAAAAUCCUGGCAUGGCUUGGCUCGUUAUAAUCCUAGCCGGCCACGAGCUAAGCGAGCUAAUGAGAUCUUUUCAUCCAGCCUUAUAUGUGGAUUUUAAAAUUUUCUUUUUUUUUCUAAAAAGUUCUACUCUCUACUCCCUCUGUACCAUCCUGAUAAUUCAAGUCGUUUUGGAUCGUGAUACUGUCUUCAAAACAUAAAUUUGACUUCUUAUUUCUAUAUAAGUGUUUAUUGCAAAGUGAUAUAUGUAUAUUUUUAUGGAGGUACUUUUCAAGAUAUCAUGUGGUUUUUACAUUUACAGGUUCAACAAUUUAAAAGUUAUUUGUGAUUUGUAUUCCAUUUUUCUGACUCAAAACUUGUCAAAAAUGACUUGAGGUACCAAUAUAGAGGGAGUAUUAGUUUUUGUUAGAACAUAAUUAGCUCAGGUUUAUGCCUUCUAUUUGUCAUCCGAAAAGUCUAUAUAACCUCCUCACUAUCCACUUCACACACCAACUAUAAAACCAAAUAUUCUAGCUCCUAAACUUUUGAAAACCGGCUAAAUAACCACCUCGAGCGGGUUUGGAGGGUGGUUUUGUAUUUUUCUUUUUAUUUAUUUUCACCAACUUUUUUAAAAAUCAAAAUAAAUCAUAGAAAAAUCAUAAAAUAAAAAAAAUCUAAUUUUGUUGGACUUCUAUUGAGUAGAUCUACACAGUG